GCUAAUCCUCCCAGGGUCAGUCGGGGGCUAAGGCGAGGCCGGAAGGCGUAGCCGACGCGCAGCAGGCAGACAUUCCUGCACCGCGCACGCGGCGCUACGACCGACGGGGCGACGGAUGGGGGUGGCUCGGCGGGGUUCUGGACGUCCCCGUGAUGGAGCGCGGCCCGCGGACCAGGGAAAUCCGGUCCGCACGAGGGCGAGGCUCCGGACGAAGCGAUCAAGCGAAGCGAGUGAGCCCGAGGUCCCUAGAAAAACCCCUAGGCAGGCGCGUGCGCGCCCGUACCGCAAACCGACACAGGUGGGUGGGUAGAACAUACCGAGGCGAUCGGGUCAACCAUGGUCAAGGAACUCGGCACAAUGGCCCCGUAACUUCGGGAGAAGGGGUGCCCGCGCGUACGUGAACGGACUUGCUCCGGGAGCGGAGGCGGGCCGCAGUGGAGAGGCCCAAGCGACUGUUUACCAAAAACACAGGACUCUGCAGAAGCCGCAAGGCGACGUAUAGGGUCUGACGCCUGCCCGGUGCCGGAAGGUCACGCGGAGGAGUUAGCGCAUCGCGCGAAGCCCCGAAGCCAAGCCCCGGUAAACGGCGGCCGUAACUAUAACGGUCCUAAGGUAGCGAAAUUCCUUGUCGGGUAAGUUCCGACCUGCACGAAAGGCGCAACGACUUGGGCGCUGUCUCGACCAUGGACCCGGUGAAAUUGCACUGGUCGUGAAGAUGCGACUUACCCGCGGAAGGACGGAAAGACCCCGUGAACCUUCACUGCAGCUUGGCAUUGGCCGCUGGUCCCGCGUGUAGAGGAUAGGCAGGAGGCACAGAUCCGGAGGCGCCAGCCCCCGGGGAGCCGCCCUUGGAAUACUGCCCUCGCGCGACCGGCGUCCUAACCCGAGGCCGUCAACCGGCUCGGGGACCGUGCCAGGCGGGCAGUUUGACUGGGGCGGUCGCCUCCUAAAGGGUAACGGAGGCGCGCGAAGGUCCGCUCGGGACGGUCGGCAACCGUCCUUUUGAAUGCAAGAGUACAAGCGGGCUUGACUGCGAGGCCCACAAGCCGAGCAGGUGCGAAAGCAGGCUCUAGUGAUCCGGCGGCCCCGAGUGGGUGGGCCGUCGCUCAACGGAUAAAAGGUACUCCGGGGAUAACAGGCUGAUCUUGCCCAAGAGUCCACAUCGACGGCAAGGUUUGGCACCUCGAUGUCGGCUCAUCGCAUCCUGGGGCUGGAGCAGGUCCCAAGGGUACGGCUGUUCGCCGUUUAAAGCGGUACGCGAGCUGGGUUCAGAACGUCGUGAGACAGUUCGGUCCCUAUCCUCCGUGGGCGCAGGAGAAUCGAUGGAGGCUGCCCCCAGUACGAGAGGACCGGGGUGGACGCACCUCCGGUGAACCGGUUGUCGACCAACGGCACGGCCGGGUAGCCGCGUGCGGCGCGGAUAACCGCUGAAGGCAUCUAAGCGGGAAGCCGUUCCAGGGAUUAGUUCUCCUUCCGGUAAGGGCCCAGGUAGACUACCUGGUCGAUAGACGGCAGGUGCAAGGACGGCGACGUCCUCAGCCGAGCCGCACUAAUCGCCCGAGCUCUUCCG
rnacentral:rRNA from 1 species